rnacentral:rRNA from 1 species
CCCAANUAAUGACGACAUAGCUAGAGGAAAAUUUUUCUCCGUGAUGCCGCAACGAGCGCAACCCUACGUGCNUCUNAGUUACCAGCGGGUGAUGCCGGGCACUCUAGGGAGACUGCCGGUGUCAAACCGGAGGAAGGUGGGGAUGACGUCAAGUCAUCAUGGCCCUUACGUCCAGGGCGACACACGUGCUACAAUGGCCGGUACAGAGCGUCGCCAACCCGCGAGGGUGCGCUAAUCGCCAAAAGCCGGUCUAAGUUCGGAUCGUAGUCUGCAACUCGACUGCAUGAAGCCGGAAUCGCUAGUAAUCGUGGAUCAGCCACGCCACGGUGAAUACGUCCCCAAGCCUUGUACACACCACCCGUCACGCCAUGGAAGCUGGGGGGACCUGAAGUCGGUGGGCUAACCGCAAAGACGCAGCCGCCAAAGGUCAAUUCAGUGACAGGGGCGAAGUCGUAACAANGUAGCCGUACGGGAACCUGCGGCUGGAUCACCUCCUUUAUGUAGCGACAAGUAGGGUCGGGGUCUUGCCCCGGUCCAGAACGAUCCUCAGAAAGUUCGCCCCGCANCUUCUACCCGGCCUGGUCUUAAGNCGUCCGCCAUUUCAGCUUUUGUUCUUAUCCGGUUUGUUUCGGGGGACCCCCCCCCGGUUGGGGGGGCCCCCGAAAACCACUGGGCCUCCCUAUU